AUUGAACGCUGGCGGAAUGCUUUACACAUGCAAGUCGAACGGCAGCACGGACUUCGGUCUGGUGGCGAGUGGCGAACGGGUGAGUAAUGGAUCGGAACGUGCCCAGUCGUGGGGGAUAACGUAGUGAAAAUUACGCUAAUACCGCAUACGAUCUAUGGAUGAAAGCGGGUGAUCGCAAGACCGCGCGCGAUUGGAGGGGCCGAUAUCAGAUUAGGUAGUUGGUGGGGUAAAGGCCCACCAAGACAACGAUCUGUAGCUGGUCUGAGAGGACGACCAGCUACACUGGAACUGAGACACGGUCCAGACUCCUACGGGAGGCAGCAGUGGGGAAUUUUGGACAAUGGGCGAAAGCCUGAUCCAGCCAUUCCGCGUGCAGGAUGAAGGCCCUCGGGUUGUAAACUGCUUUUGUACAGAACGAAAAGGUUUCUACUAAUACUAGGAGCUCAUGACGGUACUGUAAGAAUAAGCACCGGCUAACUACGUGCCAGCAGCCGCCGUAA
rnacentral:rRNA from 1 species